GAUCAUGGCUCAGGACGAACGCUGGCGGCGUGCCUAACACAUGCAAGUCGAACGGAACUGUUUUGAAAGAUUUCUUCGGAAUGAAUUUGAUUUAGUUUAGUGGCGGACGGGUGAGUAACGCGUGAGUAACCUGCCUUCAAGAGGGGGAUAACAUUCUGAAAAGAAUGCUAAUACCGCAUGAUAUAUCGGAACCACAUGGUUUUGAUAUCAAAGAUUUUAUCGCUUGAAGAUGGACUCGCGUCCG
rnacentral:rRNA from 1 species